CAGAAGUGUUUCACAGUUGGUCAUGCAUCUGCACCGUCUAAUGUUUUUUCUUGCAUCAGUGGGUUGGGUGUCUGAUGCUGAUAACUGCGACAAGACUAAAGCUAAAAAUGAACUUUUCAGACAUCUCGGCUUGGACAAGACUGACAUUCAGAUUACCAGGAUGUGGCCCUUGUUAUAAAUGGACAAGCUUGCCGAAAUUUACGUAGACCUGUAUGUGACCUCCAUCACAGAAGUGAAUGAAAAAGACCAGAGCCUCACGAUACAAGUCAAAAUUAUAACUGCCUGGCCAAAUCCAAACAUGCAGUGGGAUAAAACAUUGUUUUGUGAAAUGGAGACAUUUGCAGCCCCUAAAAAUAUGUUUUGGACCCCAGACAUUGAUAUAAUAGAAAGGUAUAAAAAAUGACUUUUAUUUUGUCUAUUUGUCUAUUCGGAAAGCUUGCAAAAUAAUGGAUUCAAUAAAGGUAAAGACAUUUGAAAAUGAAAGAUAAAAAAUGAUUCAGAAGCUUUCUUUAAUGCACAAAAAUUAGCUCCAAUCCUUAAGACUGAUAGUUUACAUUAUAAUGUUGUGGUUUAUAUAUAAUCUGAUCUGUUUGUUCAGACAUGGACCACAAUCAACUCUCAUUAAUAUCAAAAUACAAUAUCUGAAGAUAUAAUUCAUAAAUAGGAAAAGAAAUGAGGCACCUUCAUAAACUAAACUAACAGCUGACAAUAUCAAAAGUAGCAGUGCCCAGCUACCAGGAGACAUUCUUGUAACUUUAGCUAACAUUUGAAGAGUCUGGCGAACAUUCUUGCAACAUUAAUAACAUUAAUAGAAUGUUUGUUCAAUAUGAUCUGGUCUUUAAUCAUGUUCUCUAAAGGUUAGCACAAAAAAUGUAUACGUUGCUUGUAGAAUGCUUUCAAAAUGUUCUUAUCAUGUUGGGAGAAAAUGUUCUUAGAACAUCUAUGGAACAUCCUUUAAACAUUUGAAAUGGCGGCUAACUUCAACAAGGUUGUGUGCUGUUUUAAA